rnacentral:tmRNA from 1 species
GGGGACGACCGGAAUUGACAGCUUGCUGAUGCUGCGUGUAAGCAUGUCGGGAGUUGAGGGCAUUUCCUGUAUAACAAACCUUCGAACAAUAACUGGCGAAUAUAACUACGCCAUGGCUGCCUAAUCCGGAGGAUUAAGCAAUAGCCAUUGUCUCCCCGGCUUCUGUACUGCUGGCUGGAAUCGGAGGCAUCGACUCGCAGUACUGGCUCGGUUUAUGGUGUUAACGGCCGAGUAAGACACAAGCACCUACGGAUGAGGUUUGGCCUGAUGCGAGCCUGACCGAUUCCCGACAAUCCCAAUCGCAUCUAAACAUGUAGAAAGCACGACGGUUUCCUUGUCUGGACCAGGGUUCGACUCCCUGCGUCUCCACCA